rnacentral:lncRNA from 1 species
CUAGCAACUUCUAGAACAGCUGACACAGGUCCCUUCCAAGCUUGGGAGGAUCACCCUAUGCUGCGCAGCCCAGCUAUUUUAGCAUUUCUCUGACAAAGGAGGGAUGGUCCUCAUUGUGUGCCUGGUGCACCUGCCUACCUCGGCCGCUUCUGGAGUGCACCCUCUCAGAGGUGCAGGGCAAACAGCCCAAUCUCUGAUUCACCCAGGGAGGGUUGGCCAGUCUCAGAGUCCAGCAGGAUGAAGAAAUAAUGUUUCUGGUGAAGGUUACCACCUCUGCCAGUCCCUGCGCCACACCACCAUCCACUAUUGAGUGCAUAGACCCUGGACCCUUUGACUCCAGAGGAUUUGCAACAACACACAGCCCAGAGCUCAGGGGCUGACCCUGGUGAUUUGAGUCGCGCCUUUCCAGCUGCGCGCAUGCGCGGUGCCUUUUCCCGGAAGAAGGGAGGGCUGAGUCUCCAACUGCAGUAGAGAAUUUGCCCGCUUCUGCAAAUCUACCUGGUUUCGCCUCCUCCGAUAUGAGACCCUCUCGUCAGGGAGCCCAGCUGCGUGGAUGCCGGGGACGCUAUGGCUUUGAGGACUGGCCCACCGAGCCAAAGGUGGAACCUGUUUGUCCACAAAUCCUUUUCCUCACCGUGAUGGCUGCUUUGCUUGAUGGAUCUGCAGCUGCUUGGCUUACUUUUUGAUUUGUGAGAGAGAGGCGAGUUCUUUUACUCGAGGGGGGAGGAACCGCUCGCACUAGGGAGGCUUUUCCCCCAUGUGUGAUGCAUACGACGGUGUCUGCUGGUGUCCGACACCAGAGAAACCAACAACAGGGUGUCCUGCCUCUCUUCCUAAAGGGCACUGGGGAAGAGAGUCGAGGCACCUCCCUUCUCUGAUGUGGCGGGAAACCUUGGGUCGAGUUUUUUACUCUGGAUGGUGGUACAGUGGGGGCCAGGGCUCACAGCCGAGGUCUGGAACUCUGGUUGGAGCUGUCUUCAGAGCUCUAUUAUGGAGCCCCAGCCCUGGGCAGGAAAGCUCAUUAGCAGACGUGAUAGAUGUGAGCACAUGACUGCCGAGUCGUGUCCCGUGUCCCUGUUGAACUGGAACUCCUGCUCCUUCUCCAUUAGCAGCGGUGUCUGCAUGCUCAGCCAUCCCUCUGGACCCUUCUGAAUUCUCCCAGGGCUCUGAAUGCAGUCUUUUUUAUGCAAGGGUCUUGGACACGUCCGGGUGUGUGCGGCGCAAGCCUACAAACUCUCUCACCUCUACCAGAGAUAAUAAGGUCUUUUAUACCCUAGAGCCUGGGCAGGCCAUAAGGACAAAGGGUGCCCGGGACACAAGCAGGUAGUUUGGAAGUUUGGUGUAAAUUUAGAAGCAACUUCUACCUUCUCUUUCACCUGCGUGCCAUUGGGCUUGGCCAUGCGUGGCCCACGGUUGGCACAAAUAUUUGGAAUCUGUGAGUAAAGAAGCUGGAAGUGGGCUCAGAAAAUGCUGCCCAGGCCCAUGUAACAGAUGCCGGAGGAAACACAUGUGAGCUCACACACACAGGUUGCUGGAGUGAGAGGCUGAAGAGGGUAGGGGUGGGAUAAGGGACUGGAGUGCUCAAAGGCUGCAAGAGAAAGGAAGUCUGGUGUUGGAAGAGGCGGGAGGAUCUGGGAGGAGAUGCCUGGAGCAGAAACCACGAUCAGAAUUUACUGUAUAAUUUUUCAACUAAUAAACAUGAGUUGUACUCUGUAGAGAGCCUCGCAUGGCACACACUCGUGCUGCCCUUAGUUGUGGGUAGCAUCUCACGGGCGUCUCUUGAGUUACUGCAGGACGUGGAUGGGGACCCUGUUUGGGAACUCUGGGAAGGGGUGUAAGACUUACCUGCUGACUCCUCACGCUGGUCUGAAACUGGAGCUGUCGCACAGGGAGGCUCCCUGGAGCCCCCUUGCAGGGCUGGCUGCACCUUGGCGACAGCUGUGGGCUGAGUGGUGUUCCUCAAGGAGCCUGGGUUGGAACGGGAAAUUGCAGUGAGGCUGAGCCAUGGGGGGUCACGUUCGGGUCAGUUCUCUCUGACCGUGUAGCUGUUGUGAAUGGAUGUUGAGGGUGUGGCUUCCUCCCUGGAGAGGUGGGCUGACGUGAAGGCAGACUGAGCCUGCUCUCUCUUGCCUGGAGGCGCCCUGGGAUGACAAUACCGGCCAGAACGGUUGCCCUCAUCCCUUGAUCUCAGACUUUCCCAGACUCUAGAGGUAAGAAUAAAUGUGUGUCGCCCCCCCCCCAAUAAACUCUGCAGUCUUGUGUCACAGUGGGACAGGAUGGGCUAAAAGAUCAGGGUAAGGAGCCGGUUCUGAGGACAUCACAGAGGCGCCCUCGCAGAGCCUGAACUCGGGCCUUUCCCUUUUGAAUAGUUUUUCAUGGUGUAGCAGCCUACAAGCGGAACAAGCUUAUAGUUUUGAUAGCUAUAUUUCAGGGCCAUCCUUUGUAUCAUGAAACAGUAACAGAACAUCAGCAUCAUGGCUCCUUGAACCGCAUGCAGCAUGUGGCGCCGUUUGUCUGACUUUUUACUUUAUGUCUUGAGGAGGCUUUUAUCCACCUUGGACUGAAGCCCCAAGAAGCAGGUGCACCGCUCCUUAUAGGAGUCUGCUGGGGAGAGAGCGGCUUCAGCCAUGGAUGAAGCUCUAACAGUGCUGAAAGGCUAAGACGAUGCUAAGUGUAUAGCUGAUCGCUUAUUAUUAUAAAAUAUAGUACAAUAUUAAUAUAUUUUAUGAAUCCUUUGAUGAUUUUAUUAUACAUUUGUGAACAUAAUCACCUCCCCACCUCCCACUAACUCUUCCCAGAUCUAUUCCCCUGUAAACUCCGUGUCCCUCUUUUUUUCCUUUUUUUAAAAAUUUUAUUUGUUUUGAGACAGGGUCUCUAUGGAUGUAGCCUUGGCUGUCCUAGAACAUGCUAUGCAGACCAGGCUGGCUUUGAACUCAGAGAUCCACCUGCCUCUGCUUUGUGAGUUCUGGAAUUAAAGAUGCACACCACCCACCAUGCCCAGCCGACAGAACCCUGCUGCCCGUAUACAGAUAUACGUUUGUAUGACAUGUGAGAUCAUCCACUGGCUCACAGUUGACCGACCAGAGACCACUCCCUACUGCUUCUCAGCCUGGGCUGGGGACUCUCGAGCCUCUCCAUGAUGGCCACCUGCCUUUAGCGUUUGGAGGCAACCACAGCUGCUGUGAGUUUGUAUAGCGCAGUGGUUCUCUCCCCUGCUUCCACCCCGUGACGCUACCUGAGCCCCAGCUGCAAGGGAAUGGUGAGUGUGUAUACCUGUGUGUGAGCCAGCCCUCCACUGGCACUCUGAUUAACUGUGAGUUUGUGUUAAUAAUGUUAGUCACCAUCCACCGCAAAAGGCCUAGCUGUUAGAACAGCAACCAGCUCUCUUACCUUCCUGUCUGCCCUUCUCCUGGUUCACAGCCCAGCGUUCCUCCAGAGCAUUCUCCCAGCUGUUCCUCCUGAAGCUCCCCGACGGCCUCCUUAAAUAGCCCCUUCUCCCCGUUUCCCCAAUACCAGCAGCUCCAGGCUGGCUGUAUCAACUGUUGAAGCCUCAGCUCAGCUUCUCCUGGUCCCACUGUCUUCUAAUGGCAUCUUCUGCCCCAAGUGCCUUCUCCUCUCAUCUGCUGGCCCAAUCCCUUCUUUUUAAAUAAAUCUUGCCCCCAUAAAUGUACGGCUAUGUCAGCCUUGGACGGUCUUAUGCCUUUCCUUGAUGACCUUCUGGUCCCACACUGGCCUUGAAAUAUAGCUAUCAAUAUGUAGCCCACCACACAUUCUGUUUUAGCUGAGAUAAACGUCCAAUUCCUAGAAACUGGGUAUAAACUUUUUGAAGCGGCCAUUCUGAAUACCAAGAUUUUUGUGAAGUAAUAGUUGCAACAGCUCCUGUAUCCACCAAACUGUCUAUUUCAACCUCAUUCUCUUGCAACUUUAAUUUUGGCCUCGGAUCAUUAACAACUGUUUGCCAGAAUGCGCAUUUUCUAGGACUUCCAAACCCUCCUGAUCGAUUGUUCUCCAGGGAGCAGCCUUGCCUUGGAUAUAGACAAACAGUAACAUCUGAGCAGUCCUAUCACCUGUGUUAAAGCAUAUUUUUUUCAUAAGCCAUUAUCUUCAUUUCUACUUUGAAAUUUUUCACCUAUAAUUCCUGGAUGCACAAUCAGUCCUUGGGAAGUCAAACUGCUCCUUCCUGAGACCAUUCCUACUGUCCCUGAGGGCAAAGGACCAUAAACUCCAGUAGUUAUUUUACAAAACUGAAUUGGGGGAGGGGUAGUGUAGGAUGUUUAUCUGUGACCGAGUCUAGAGCGGGGCUGCAUUGUAGAUCUGCAAUGCUUAGUUGAGCCUUUUCUGCCUGCUUGUUACUUUCUGGCUGACGAGAGGCAAACAGCUUGUGCUUUCUGCUGUGUGGGGCUCCCAUUUUGUUUCCUGAUGGCAAGAAAUUGCCUUGGGUCUCUUUUGGAUCUACACUCAUUGGUCCAGUGGCGACCCCUUGUCACAUUGCCAGCUCACCCCCGGAAGCCUAGGCCUUCUUUACGAUUCCUAUUUAGAAAAACCAUUGUCCUUGGAGAUGUCUCAUACACAAUUUUGUUGUGAACUGUCAUAUACCCUGUAGUUAAAGCGCUGCACAUUUUGAGAUCUAGAGUCUUUAGCUAUGGCUUGCCCAGUUAUCAACAGCAUUAUAUAUGCUCGGACCAAGAUAGGUCGUCUCCCCGAUCCACUCUUCCCUGGGUGCCACCCUCGACCUUAAUAGAUUAAUAACCUUUUUUUUUCAUUCCGUAUUUGCAUUUUCAAAUGCCUGGGUCUCAAUUAGCACUUGGAUCAGGGUCUGAUAUGGCUUUGCUCACAGCUGAACCUAAUUUUUGUAAAACAACAACAAACAGUGAAAACUUGCCCUGAGCCUUGUAUACUUUUUGUAAUGGCUCAGCCAGUCUUUCAACCUUUUUACAAUCAAAAUAGCCCAGAGUGAGGAAAAGGAGAAAAGAACAACAACAAACAAACAAAAACAAACAAACUAUCUGCUGCAGAAAACCAUGUGGGAGUGUCCCAAUCCGAAGCCUCCGCAAACACCUUGUGGGCUUUUUGAAACAAAGUAUCCAUCUCUUCUUUUCUUGCCUGUGUUAGUAACCAGUUCUCUUGGCUCUCAGUUUUGAGCCAAGCCCUUCUCCUAGCCAUUCCUCCCUCAGUUCCCCAACAUUGUGCUUAAACAGUCUCUUCUUCCAGUUUUCCCAAUACCAGCAGCUCCAAACUAUAUACCAACUGUUGUAGCCUCUCUGCUCAGCUCAGCGACUCUGGGCUCCACUGUCUCCUUAUGACAUCUUCUGCAUCAGUCCGCUGUACAGAGAGACUCCUCUGAUGUCUGAGUGAGGGCCCCAACCUGGAUACAUACACACACACACACACUCACACACAGAUAUAAACGUAUAGGCUGUUUCCAUUUAGCUGAACAGUAGUGGUAGCUUCACCCCUGGGGCCUCUGAGUUCCUGGCUAGGUUUAUAGUACCAGGUUUACCACAGUUUCCUCCUGUGGCCCAGGCCUUAAAUUCAAUCAAAGUGGUUGCUUGCUCCUACUGACUUCUGUGCAACCAUUGUGUCCAGGGAUGUCUCUUGCCUCAUGCUCACUGUUGUGGUUCAUAGGGUUGACAGUUGGCUGAGACUUGAUGGUGACAUUUUCCUUUCGCUAGCCAACACAGUCCCUUCCAGUCCUGUGGAAGCUGGCCUCGGCCAAUGAUUCAUCUGUUAGGAUUAUUCUAAUUUAGCUUUCCAACCCUCGGCCCUCAGCCAAUCCCAGGUCUCCAGGACUUGUGUCUCCUCCUGUGCCACGGGAACAUUGAACCUUGGACCAACCGCUCCCUGUUUCUCCAGAUUGCAAGCCCUGGUCAGGACCAUUCUAUUCUCUACCACAAGGAACCCAGUGGCUUUAGAUCCCAAACAUGAGUCUGUGCAGCCGAGUGAGCUCAGCAUCUCUGCACCACCUCAGCUCAUCUGGCAUGAUGUGCUCAGGGCUCACAGACGCUGUGGAAAAGACAGAGCCCCUGCCUAUAGCAAUGAGUGUCACCUCAGCAUUUGGGGCUAACGUGUUGGUUUUCAUUCCCCAUAUACGGACAUGAAUUUUGAAAAUCAGCCAGUAUAGUGGCCUCUUAUUCCACCUUUUCCUCAGAGGGCUCUCCUGUGAUGUGGGUAAGGGUUUAGGGAUGAGUGAGUCGCUGUGGCCAUCAAGGCGAGUCACUAUGCCUAAAAGAACCAAAGCCAUUCGCCACUGCAACUGGGUGCCCAGGCAGAUGUGGUGGUGUUCAUGAGUGUUGGGAGUCUGAAGAAGUCAAAUAAGAUGCAAACAUGACUGUGUCCCAGUAGCUCAAGCCAAGGCAAUCUGCACAUGGCGCGUCUCCAGGUAAGGAGAUAAGUCUUACAAUCAAACCAAUAAAUUACCAACAGAUUCAAAGGCCAAGGGAUCCCGAGGCUAAAGGAGAGGUGGCUGGGGUUGGGGUGCGGGGGGUGGCUGGAGAGAUGGUUCAGCUGUUAAGAGCACUGACUGCUCUUCCAGCGGUCCUGAGUUCAAUUCCCAGCAACCACAUGGUGGUUCACAACCAUCUGUAAUGGAGUCUAAUGUCCUCUUCUGGUGUGUCUGAAGACAGCUACAGUCUAUAGAAUAAAAUAUUUACAAAAAAAAAAAAAAAAAAAAACCAAAAAAAAAAAAAAAAAACAACCCAACCCUUAGGGAAGAGUUUUUUUUUAAAUGUAUAUUAGACUCUCACUAAUGAUAUAUUGGACCCUGACAACAAUACCUGCUGCUGGGAACGGCCGUAGAUUCUCGUCCCAUGUCAGCACUGGUCCUCUCCCAAAGCCUGGUCUCGUCCUGAGGGACCAGAACCAGGGGCCAGAUCACAACUGAGGAGGGCAGGAACAUAGGGCCAGAGAAUCGCGAUCUGAGAAGGCUGGGGGAGUGUCUGUGAGUGUGGCAGAACAACAUCACACAAGAGCGUGGACAGAUGGGAAAGGUGUCACUGCGGGUUCUGAACCCACAACCCCACCGCCACCACCACCACCACCACAACCAAGUGUCAGAAAAACAGUAGGUCAGGCAAGAACGCUGCACGGACAGUUCCAGUUCUCACUGGACAUAUUUCCCAGGAGGUGGACUCUUUCCAAAAACAAGAGAUCAAUGGCAAGUAAGGUAGAAAGGCUCUGGCUAGGCAGGGUGAGAGAAACUCGGGAGUGGACAGACUGAGGUCAGGAUUGAGUCCUCGGGUGGAAGAAACUCUGUGAGGAGCACUCUUUACAGGAGAAGGGAGGUGAAAUCUGAUGGAGAAUUGACCGAGUACCAGCAGGGAAACCCAAAACAACGGCAGGGAGAAAACAUGAAGGCCCAUCCCUCAUAGUCUUUCUGCCAAGGAGAUGAUGCUGGGGCCUUGUUUCCUGAGAGCACACUGGGUGCUGACCAGAGCUGCGGAAUCAGUGUAUUCUUGGAAGACCUUGGGCUCCAGGGCAAAAGAAUAAGCCGGGCUUCCACGAUAAGAGAACGGAGGAGAGAGCGAAAGCAGAGCCUUCCCGAUGGAAACGGAGCAGCGCACUGACGAGCCUCAGGGAGGGGCACAGGAAGUGUGGACUCCAUACCAGCAUGCUGGCUCGGAGGUGUGAAGGGCCGACAUCUGAGUGGUCAUAGGUGACCUUGGGUCAUACUGCUGCCAUGACGCCUUCCAGAGGGAGGGACAAACUGACUCCAGUCACUAAAGUCUCUAGAGCAACAGCCACAUGAGACAGGUGACAAGUGUCCACUGGGCAGUUGUGUCUAGUAGAGACCCAGCAUGGGACCUGAAUCAAGGGAGUGAUGGCAGGUGACUAAGGGGACAUCCGUGCGAUCCUCGAAGUUCUGCCUCUGCGUAAAGUUGUCCUACAAUGUGCUUAUGCUACAAGAAGAUUUUGCUAGCAGCUGGUGGUAAGUGAUUAAUAUUAACUACACAUGAAAGAGCAAAUGCAUUCCCAUGCAAUAUAUACAUUAAAAUAGAAAAACCUAAUGCAUACACACCACACACAGGCACAAACAGACACCACACACAGACACAGACAUAUACCACACACAUGCCACACACACCACACACACACACAUACACACACCACAUCAUACCACACUACACCACACACAUCACAAAAUUAAAUGGAAACCCAGCUGCAGAGGGCCUUCGGGGUGGACCUAUCUGUGCUACAGCCUGCCAGUCUUAUGCGGUGGCUGUUACACAUCCAUCCUGUGUGUGUGUACGAUUUCAGAUCACCAUUUGUUCUUUGUGGCAUCUGUCUGCCACCCGCAUACUCUGCCCCCUCCUCUGGGACCACAGAAACUGAAGGUGCAGACCCGUGAGCUUAGCCAUGUCUUUUCAAAUACCUGUGUGGCAUAUGGCUUCUCGAAAGGGCUGUCAAGAACUCCCCAACCCGCUAAGGUGUUCUUCACCCUCCUUUAAGAUGAAACAGAAAAUGCAGAGACCCAGAAAGUGACCUCAAAAAUUCAAAAGUCACUGGGAAAGAACUGGCUCUGGAGACGCCCAUGAAGGUCAGAAUGAAAAGGGUUCCAGGAGAGAGGAAAUCUUAGCCCUGAAAUAUCCCUUAUCCAAUGUUGCAAACACAAUCACACCCACACUGAAAUGGAGUGUUUAUUUAAUGUCUAAUGUGUGGCUGGUUUCCCUAAACAUUUGUUUGUUUUUGUUUUUUUAAAUACAGGUUUAUUUCUUUGAGAAUUUCAUGUAUUUACAUAAUUUCCACCUCUCCCCCCCUCCUCUGUUGUGUUCC